CAUAUUACUAUUAUUAUAGUAGUAACGCCCGUCAAUGUAUUUAAAGGUUAUGACUACCCCUCGAAAUGUGGCGAAAAAGCCUUGAAAGGCCUUGAAAAGGCUAAUGUCUCCUCUCGUGGCUCUUUUAAAUACGCCCAUGCAACAAUAUCUCAAUCUUUCAAAAAUAUUUAAUUUUUUUUCAAUUUAAUUUUUAUGCACUCGGCUACCUACUACAAUCGCA